CGCUGGGCACCGCUGGGCACCGCCGGGCACCAGUGGGCACGGGUGGGCACGGGUGGGUACUGGUGGUGCUGGACACUGGUGGGUACUGGGCACCGCUGGGCACCGCUGGGCACCGCUGGGCACCGGUGGUGCUGGGCACUGGUCACUGGUGGGUACUGGGCACUGGUGGUCACUUGGAGCGCUGGUGGGCACUGGGCACUGGUGGGCACUGGUCACUGGUGGGUACUGGGCACUGGUGGUCACUUGGAGCGCUGGUGGGCACUGGGCACCGCUGGGCACUGGUGGGCACUUGGAGCGCUGGUGGGCACUGGGCACUGGUGGGCACUGGUGGGCACUUGGAGCGCUGGUGGUCACUUGGAGCACUGGUGGUCACCGUUGGUCACUGGUCACUGGUGGGCACUGGUCACUGAUGGGCACUGGUCACUGGUGGGUACUGGUCACUGGUGGUCACUUGGAGCGCUGGUGGGCACUGGGCACCGCUGGGCACUGGUGGGCACUUGGAGCGCUGGUGGUCACUUGGAGCACUGGUGGUCACCGUUGGUCACUGGUCACUGGUGGUCACUGGUCACUGGUGGGUACUGGUCACUGGUGGGCACUUGGAGCACUGGUGGUCACCGUUGGUCACUGGUCACUGGUGGUCACUGGUCACUGGUCACUGGUCACUGGUGGGCACUGGUCACUGGUGGGUA
rnacentral:lncRNA from 1 species